rnacentral:tRNA from 1 species
GGGAGCAGCCGGGACCCUGGUGGGCCCCUGGGACUUCAAAUCCCGUGGCGGGCCGGGCGGCCCGCGGUGGGUUCGAUUCCCACAUGCUCCCGCCA